GAAGAAUCUAUCAGAGUUGAAGCUGCAGAUGCGGUAAAGGACACGCUCUGGUAACGGGGAGUUCUGAUAACAAGUGUUGAAGAGCAGGAACUAACUUCAAACGUCCAUGGUUUGUGUCCGCCUCGGGGACAUUCUGUCUCUCCUCUUACCAUGGGUGACCUGUAGCCCAUCUGGGCAGGCGAUGGCAGGAGGUCCCUGGGAAAUAGCGGCGAGUGCGUCUCGGGGACGGAGCCCACGCCACUGGCUGCUAGUCCCGAGAGCUGCCCGUACCUCGCCAUCAUCUUGAGAUGCUGCUCACAGAACACGCUCGUAACAUAGAGACGGAGAGGGGAAGGAGGAGAGGCGAUAACAGCAGGUUGUCAGAUGCCAGGAGUGUCUGAGCGAGGUGGAUCUAGGAGUUCACAUUUCUGAGGAAGACGACAAAUGAGAUGAAUAAAGGACAAUUGUGUCUGUGAUAAAUGGAGUACAACAUUCAGCAACCAUCAAAUUAUGGUUACUAUUUAAGCUCUAUUAAUAUGUCUUUUUAAGUUUCAUUUUAUCAGGUUCUGGGGAGUUGUGUGUAUAAUAUAUAUAUAUAUAUAUUUUUAAAAUUCUUCUAUUUCUUUAAAGUACUUUUAGCAUUAAAACUGCUUUAUGCACUUAAUUUUCAUUUUACUUUAUUUAAGUGUAUGAUUUUAUUUAUGUUUUGAGAGGCAUUUUAAAUAAAAUUGAUUAUUUAUUUGAGUAAACUCUGAAAUGUUUAAUUACAUAAUUAAUUCAUACUUUAUCUUUGUUGUGUUAUUUAUUGAUACUUACAGGUUUUUAAUGACCUGAAUCUGUGUUGGUAAAUCUAAAUAACCAAUCAAAUGUUAAGAACUGGAUAAUGUUAAUAUACGUAAAGAAGAAAGCUAAGCUAAGCAGGUUGGGAUUAUGUUUGUUUGUAACCUUUAUUUAACCAGAUUAAAAAAAUCCUUUAAGUUCAGAAACUCUUUUUCUGCCCAACAGGUCAGCAGCACACGUCUUAUAAAUAAAGUUAUAAUAUAGAACAACCAAACAAAAGGAUGAUUUUAGGAUAUUUACAACAUCAAAUUUAAAAUUUAGAUACAGUAAAGUGACAGUGAUUUUUAACAUAAGUAAGUUAUAUUUGACAUUAACCCUCGAACACUUUCGCUAUAAAAAGUUUCACCAUCACUUUUGUCGGCUCAUUUUUACCCGAUAUAAAAUACCCAAUUAAAAGUAUUUCUCAUAAAAAAUAC